rnacentral:rRNA from 1 species
UACGGGGGGGGCAAGCGUUGUUCGGAAUUACUGGGCGUAAAGGGCGUAUAGGCGGCCUAGCAAGUCAGUUGUGAAAGCCCCAGGCUCAACUUGGGAAUUGCAACUGAAACUGCCGAGCUAGAGUUCAGGAGAGGAGAGCGGAACUCCCAGUGUAGCGGUGAAAUGCGUAGAUAUUGGGAGGAACACCGGUGGCGAAGGCGGCUCUCUGGACUGAAACUGACGCUGUCGCGCGAAAGCCAGGGGAGCGAACGGG